rnacentral:rRNA from 1 species
CCGAACCGACUAAUGUUGAAAAAUUAGCGGAUGACCUGUGGCUGGGGGUGAAAGGCCAAUCAAACCGGGAGAUAGCUGGUUCUCCCCGAAAGCUAUUUAGGUAGCGCCUCGUGAAUUCAUCUCCGGGGGUAGAGCACUGUUUCGGCUAGGGGGCCAUCCCGGCUUACCAACCCGAUGCAAACUGCGAAUACCGGAGAAUGUUAUCACGGGAGACACACGGCGGGUGCUAACGUCCGUCGUGAAGAGGGAAACAACCCAGACCGCCAGCUAAGGUCCCAAAGUCAUGGUUAAGUGGGAAACGAUGUGGGAAGGCCCAGACAGCCAGGAUGUUGGCUUAGAAGCAGCCAUCAUUUAAAGAAAGCGUAAUAGCUCACUGGUCGAGUCGGCCUGCGCGGAAGAUGUAACGGGGCUAAACCAUGCACCGAAGCUGCGGCAGCGACACUGUGUGUUGUUGGGUAGGGGAGCGUUCUGUAAGCCUGUGAAGGUGUGUCGUGAGGCAUGCUGGAGGUAUCAGAAGUGCGAAUGCU